rnacentral:rRNA from 1 species
GCUUGUCUCAAAGAUUAAGCCAUGCAUGUCUAAGUAUAAAUAUCUAUACUGUGAAACUGCGUAUGGCUCAUUAAAUCAGUUAUAGUUUAUUUGAUGAUACCCCACUACAUGGAUAACCGUAGUAAUUCUAGAGCUAAUACAUGCGUCAAAUCCCGACUUUUUGGAAGGGAUGUAUUUAUUAGACUUAAGCCAAUAUUCCUUGUGUCUAUUGCGAUGAUUCAUAAUAACUGAUCGAAUCUCAAAUUUGAGAUAAAUCAUUCAAGUUUCUGCCCUAUCAGCUUUCGAUGGUAGUGUAUUGGACUACCAUGGCAGUAACGGGUAACGAAGAAUUAGGGUUCGAUUUCGGAGAGGGAGCAUGAGAAACGGCUACCACAUCUAAGGAAGGCAGCAGG